CGCUGCGCUGAUAAAAUAAUGGUGGUUCUGCUGUGAGAGGUCAUCUUUCGCCAUCUUGCGAGAAGCCGGGAAAUUCUAUGACAAUAUUGGAUGUGAAACUUAGUUGAAGAACAGUAGUUUGUGUAUAUUUAUUGAUAAAUCAACCCUUAAUUUUUGAGGUAUUUCUCGUGAACAGCAACGGGUUACAUCAUUGUAUUCGACUCGAAAAGUGGUAAAAUGAUCAGGCAGUGAAAGGCGGGGUGUGAAAUAAAUUUGCAGUUCUCAAAAGAGCGCACCAGGCCCAUUGACUAUUGCAUGGAUAUGUGGCUGUGUAGUGCUCCAGCACGAGGCCGUAAUGAGUGACAAGUUUUGUGCACAAAGUCUGGAGUAAAGAAGGGCGUGUUUCUGAAUAUUCUUCCUUAAUUUGGUCGAAAUUUGGCGUCAACCGAUAAUUCGUGCUUCUCGAGGAGCUUGGAGGCUUCUCAGAAGGAGUACAUUUGUACCUGUUUCAAGCUAUUCACAUUUUCUUGGGGUCAAUCCAAGCCCUACUGGCCGAGGAGGUCACCACCCAUUCAGUCCAUUUUCAUUUGUGCCAACUUUGUGUGGGCACAGUGCUGUAUGUUCCAGCCUGGCGAAUUUUGUAGAAAACAAGCCGAACUCCAAGAUGGCCAGCAUGAGCAGGGCGAGGGUUUAUGCUGACGUCAACUCUCAUAGACCUAGAGAAUACUGGGACUAUGAAUCACAUGUUGUUGAAUGGGGGCAACAGGAUGACUAUCAGAUCGUCAGGAAGCUGGGAAGGGGGAAGUACAGUGAGGUCUUUGAGGCAGUUAAUAUCACCAGCAAUGAAAAGUGUGUGAUCAAAAUCUUGAAGCCUGUAAAAAAGAAGAAAAUUAAGAGAGAAAUCAAGAUCCUGGAAAACCUAAGAGGAGGCCCUAACAUCAUAGCACUACAAGCCAUUGUCAAAGAUCCAGUGUCCCGGACGCCAGCUCUUAUAUUCGAGUAUGUCAACAACACAGAUUUCAAGCAACUUUACCAAACGUUAAAAGACUAUGAAAUCAGGUACUACCUGUUUGAACUUCUUAAGGCUUUAGAUUACAGUCACAGUAUGGGUAUCAUGCAUCGUGAUGUCAAACCACACAACGUCAUGAUAGAUCAUGAAAACAGACGGCUACGUUUGAUAGACUGGGGUUUAGCAGAGUUCUACCAUCCUGGCCAAGAGUACAAUGUCAGAGUAGCAUCAAGAUAUUUCAAAGGUCCAGAACUCCUAGUCGACUACCAGCUGUACGACUACUCACUAGACAUGUGGAGUCUGGGCUGUAUGCUAGCGAGUAUGAUAUUCCGCAAGGAACCUUUCUUCCACGGCCACGACAACUACGACCAACUUGUGAGGAUUACCAAAGUCCUUGGCACAGACGAGCUCUAUGAGUACCUGGACAAGUAUCAGAUUGAACUGGAUCCGAGGUUCAAUGAUAUCUUAGGAAGGCAUUCACAUAAACGAUGGGAACGGUUUGUCCACAGUGAAAACCAGCAUCUAGUCAGUCCAGAGGCUCUUGAUUUCCUGGAUAAACUAUUACGUUAUGAUCACCAGGAGAGACACACUGCAAGGGAAGCCAUGGAACACCCUUACUUCUAUCCAGUUGUGAAGGAACAGAACAGAUCGAUGCCACCAGUCAUGAGUACGCAACCCAACACCUCAACUAGCGCCACAAAUUCAAGCAGCGCAUCAUCUGCUCGUAAAGGUAAAGGAGAGGCCUUUAUUCCAUAAAAGCCUAUUGUUUAUGUUUGGGAGCCAGUACAAUUCAUCCAACUUAUACCCACGAUCGACACGAAAGCACGGCCGUCCGGCACCAUCCCUGGAGCCCCCUUGAUUCCGACACCCACAGCCCAGACUGUCUCACCGAUA
rnacentral:misc_RNA from 1 species